CAUGCCGUAAACGAUGAGUGCUAAGUGUUAGGGGGUUUCCGCCCCUUAGUGCUGCAGCUAACGCAUUAAGCACUCCGCCUGGGAGUACGACCGCAAGGUUGAAACUCAAAGGAAUUGACGGGGGCCCGCACAAGCGGUGGAGCAUGUGGUUUAAUUCGAAGCAACGCGAAGAACCUUACCAGGUCUUGACAUCCCGAUGACCGCUCUAGAGAUAGAGUUUUCCCUUCGGGGACAUUGGUGACAGGUGG
rnacentral:rRNA from 1 species